AUAAAUAAUAUAAAGAAAAUGCCAGAUCGUAUAAUGGAUCAUCCAUCCUAUUUAAACCUUGGACAUCGCUACCUUUCCCCAAUUUGCUAUCCCUUCGAGAAAUCGGCCGACGAUUUGCAAAAUCAUUAAUGGAUCAUCCAUCCUAUUUAAACCUUGGACAUCGCUUUCUGAUGUUGGACCCCUCUGUUCCGUCGUUGUGAACCUCAUAGCCUCACGCCACCGCGCCGAUUGUGUUCCAGUUUUAGAGCUUGACGUCGCUGCUGUACUUCUUAAACUCAUCAAGUUCAAAGGCCUCUGGCAAGUGAUUGAGCAAUAAGGACGAGUAGAUUCUUCAGGUGGCAACUCAAUAGCAGUUGGUCGAGAAGCUUGUUUUACUUUAAGCAAAGCCUCGCUACAAACGACAAAUUUGGAUGAGUAAAAGUAUAAUUAUCAAGGAAGGAAUCACACCUAGUAUUUAAUAAAGUUUGGCAAAGUUGAACAACACUCGAUUUUGGUUUGGAUUGAGCUCAAUGAUGUGUUUUAGAGGCUUGUGCUACUUGGACGUGUGAAGGUUGUUAAUGUGCUGCAAUCGGUUGAUUUAGAUGUUAAUAAUUUUAUUAUGUAUUUUCUUGAACUUUGCACUUAUU
rnacentral:lncRNA from 1 species